CAAAAAUAGUAAUGACAACAGCGGGCGUUCAUUGAGAACUUGUUGCGGGUCAGGAGACUCGUGAAGGCUUCGCAUGGACCCCUUCACGGCGUUCCCACCACCCCUGUGAAGCAGGUGCUGUCGGUGCCCCCCUGGGGAAGUUGGGUACCACGAUUGGGAAAUUGAGGCUCGAGGAUUUGGAGCUUGGAAUGGAUGGAGCUGUCAUUGAACAUGGGUCAGCCUGUCUCCAGAAGCCACACUGAAUGUUCCCUUCAAGGCACAAACAACAAAAUCCAGAACAAAGGCCCCACCUCGCUGCACACAGAGCCUCUUCUGGCUGACUUAGGCGCUCUCCGUGGAUGCAAGAUGGCUUUCUCUCCACCUGCCUCAGCAGGGGGACUACUGGGCACUUUUCAGCAUCACUCCCUUAAGUUGGGGCCAAGAGGCAUUCUGAGACGAACCGCAGGGUCUUGGCCUGGAGACGUCUGGAAUCUUCGGAGUGAGACAGUGAGGAAACUGAGUCUCAGAAGGGAGCCCUGGGGAGCAGACCCAUCCAACCACCAAGUCAUUCCCCAAGAGGCAAGAGAGACACCAGGCAAGAAGAGUGAGUGCAGUGGACACGGGAAGGAUGCUGGUGACAGAGCCACUCCCGCAAUGCAGUGCACGCAUUGACUUGGUCCUCAUGGGAGGUACCAUGGGCUCCAGCUGAAGGUCAGAGAGAAGGCCAUGGCCAAGGUCACUGUGCUGGAAAGCAUCACGGCUGGCUUUGGAGCCCUGGUUGGUCCAUCUGAUGGCAAAGACCCCCUUGCCCAGCCCCCAGCUCAGCGUCCAGCGCCGUCCAGAGCCCCGUGCUUGGUGCUGCAUAGCGCUUGGCAUCCAGCACAUGCUUAACACCCAGGUAGCCUCCCUCCUUGUCCUGGUCCUGCCAGGGUGUGACCUUGGCCGUGUCAUUCUCCGUUUCCAGGCCUCAGUUCCCUGUCUGUGCAGGGAGGGUGGUGCCCCGGGGGGUGUCCUAGCUCCCCUCGCAGCCUCAACAUCCUAGACUUCCACUGCAGAAGCCAGGAAGAGUUGGUGGGGUCUCCUGGGGCUGGGGCAAAUUUGGGGGCCAGGGCUCCUUUCUGGAGGGGCCCAGGAGAGCCCCGCCGACAGCCCCCAGCACCCCCUAAAACAGCAGCCCCGGCCAAGCCUGGCUCCCCACCUCCAUCCCUUGCCCCAUUCCACCAGGCUUGGUCCUCCCCCCCACCCAUCACACCGACACCCUUGCCUCUGACCGGGGCUGCGCCCCACACUGGCCGGUGCCCGAAGCGCCUUGAAAAAUCUCUCUCUGGCAUCCCUUCCCCGACACACAGCCCCAACUGGCAGCGAGGUGAGCAGAGAGUGAGGGGGAGAGAGGAGAGAGCAGAGAGAGCGGGUAGGCAGAGA